UUAUUCCUACGGGGGGCAGCAGUAGGGAAUCUUUCACAAUGGGCGAAAGCCUGAUGGAGCAACGCCGCGUGCAGGAUGAAGGCCUUCGGGUUGUAAACUGCUUUUAUAAGCGAGAAAUAUGAUGGUAACUUAUGAAUAAGGAUCGGCUAACUACGUGCCAGCAGCCGCGGUCAUACGUAGGAUCCGAGCAUUAUCCGGAUUUAUUGGGUUUAAAGGGUGCGCAGGCGGUCUGUUAAGUCAGCGGUCAAAGCCCGGGGCUCAACCCCGGCCCGCCGUUGAAACUGGCAGUCUCGAGUUGGAGAGAA
rnacentral:rRNA from 1 species